CCCACGUGACCGACUCCUUCUCUCUCGUCUUCUUCUCCUUCGUGCGAAACCAGAAAGGAGAAGCUUGAGAGGAAGUUGCAACCGCACGAAGACCGCAGCUCACCGAAGCUGUCGCCGUCCUUCCCACCGCCGCGCUCCGUCGCCCGCACGCCGCCCACGCAUCCCGCCACUCGUCCCUCACGUCCCCGUCGCCUAACAGCUCCGUCCAGCAGCUGUUUGGUCUCUGUCCAGCUUCAGGAGUCGCUAAAGAAGUCGCCGAACCGCCGACCAGCUCCAUCUCCGGCCACCGUUCGGACUGCCGGAGCUCCCCUUGCCCUUCGUCGGCCUCCCCUUGCUGCCCUAGCCGCUGGAUUAGCUCCGGCCAGCCCAAAUCCGCAACCCACGAAAUGGGUUUCCAGCGGCUUUAGGCCCGUUUUGGGCCAUUUCCGGGUCCCGAACCCAAGCCGUGCUUUGGGAAGAUUUGUUCCUCGCGUCGCCGCCGUCGGAUUGAUCCGAUUUGCGCACGAUUUGGUGAGUAAUCUCACUAAUCCAGGAUUAGUUGGCUAAUUAUGCUUAAGGUUGGUUUAGUUUUAAUUAAUUAUGUUUAGGUUGUUAGAUUAGAAUAAAUUAGCAAUUAUUAGUCAAUUGUGAUGCGAUUUAGAUAAAUUGAUUGUGCAAUUAACAAGUAGACGUGGUCUACUAUUUAUUGGAAGCAUCUCGGGAAUUUUCUGACCCUUAAUCGGGCUUCAAUUUGGCGAUUCGGGCCUAAGUGAGAUUUUUGGGCAUUUAAAUAUUAAUUUUCAGAAUUAAAUUAAAUAAUUAUUUAUUUUCCGAAAAUUCAAGGGAGAUGGUCCGGAACCGGAAUAUUAUGCGGAUGACUGUGGUGAAGUCCAUUUAUUUAAUCGGGCUUUAUUUUGAGGUAAAUUGAAAUAUUAAUAUUAAUUAUUUAAUUUUCGAAAUUAAUUAAUUAAUUAUUUAUUUCCCGAAAAUUCAACUGGGAUGGCCCGUGACGGGAAAUUUAUGUUGAUGACCGUGGUGAAGUUCGUUUAUUUAAUUGGGCCUUAUUUUGAGCUAAACGGAAUUUUUAAUGUUUAAUAAUUAAUUUUCGAAAUUAAUUAAUAAUUAAUUAUUUUUCAGAAAUUAAGAUUAAGAUGGCCGACGACCGAAAUCUCAUGCCGAUUGUUGUGGCGCAGCCCGUUUAUUUAUUUGAGCUUUGAAUUGUGCCAAAUUGAUUUAAUUGUGGAUAUUUAGGAUAUGUUCCUAAAUUGAUUAUUUGGGUAAAUUGAGUAUGAAUUAAGGUUGUGAAUAAUUACUUUAGAAAUGGAAUGAAUCAUCAUGAAAUGCACGUGGCUCAGUGAAUAGUACAUCAUCUCGGAGAAUGCAUGUGGCUCGGUGAUUUGGUAUAUCGCUUCGGAAAAUGCACGUGGCUCGAUGAUUAGUACGUCGCCUUGGAGAAUGCAUAGAGCUUGAUGAUUAGAUAUGUCACCUCAGAAAAUGCACAUGGCUCGGUGACAAAGUAUGUCGCCUUGGAGAAUGCAUGUGGCUCGGUGAUUGAUUCUAUCAGUUAGGACUGAAUAGCAAUAUAUUAUCAGCUUUGGGUGAGCAUAUGGUAUACUAUAUCGGCCUUCAGGCGACAUGUCAGCUUUGGGUGAGCAGUAUACCGGUAUACUAUAUCGACCUACGGGCGAUAUGUCAGCUUUGGGUGAGCAGUAUACCUUAUUAUCAGCUUUGGGCAAGCAAUAUAUUAUCAACUUUGGGUGAGCAUAUGGUAUACUAUAUCGGCCUUCGGGUGAUAUGUCAGCUUUGGGUGAGUAGUAUACCUUAUUAUCAGCUUUGGGCAAGCAAUAUAUUAUCAGCUUUGGGUGAGCAUAUGGUAUACUAUAUCGGCCUUCGGGCGAUAUGUCAGCUUUGGGUGAGCAGUAUACCGGUAUACUAUAUCGGCCUUCGGGCGAUAUGCCAGCUUUGGGUGAGUAGUAUACCUUAUUAUCAGCUUUGGGUGAGCUAUGCUAUCUAUUUAUCAGCUUUGGGUGAGCAGUCCUGAUUUGAUAGGACUUUAUAGAUAGUAUUGAAUAUGCAGACCAAGCAUGGGUCGUGAUGUCAUGUAAUCGAUUAGGUCGAUUGAUCAUUGUUUUGAUAUGAUGCUGUGAAUUGAUUGAUUGGAUGGAAAUGACCAUGAGUGGUCUUGUUGGUAUGUAAUUGACUAGGUUGAUUUGAUCGAUGCUUUGAUCUGUGAGGUGAUUGCUUGAGUGCCUAUUGUGAAUUGUACUGACUUGCAGGUGGGAUCUGAUGCUAAGGUACGUCUUCUGAGCUAUGCGUGUUUAGGCAGCCUUUAGUAUAAUGGUUUACUAAUCGGGCUUAGUAGGGUAGAACUCGCUGAGACGUAGUCUCAUCCCAGUUUGGGGAAAACAUUUUAGGACCCCGCUGAGGACCUGAGGAGAAGUCUGAGAAGGAGAACUCGGAGGUGAAACCUGAGGAGAAGGAUUUUUGAAAGAAGAAGAUAAUACUGAGAGGAGUCUUAAAUAUGAUCUGGAUGGGCUGAGAGUCUAUCUUCUUUUGAGAAUUUCUUCUAAAGUGAAUAGUUAUGAAUUGGUUUGUGUUUUGUAUAAAAGUUUGGUUAUAAAUUUCAAUAUGAAAAAUAUGGCCCUACUUUUCUAUCCCAUCAUUUUAUUGUCUGGGGAUUUUAACUGCUUCCGCAUGUGUUUAAUAAAUGAAAGGGUUGGCGAUACUUUGUCCUGGGAUAUCGCAUUAUAAAAUCGACCAAGUGAGAAGGAUGUGUGCGUGCCCGAGGAUCGGGGCGUGACAACGAUAGUAUGGUUGAUGGCACCAUGGAUGACUUUGAGUCUAGCCCUGAUUAUGACCAAGAGCUCGAGCCCUAACUGUGAGGACACCAGCUUUUAUGGAAACCAUUUUUGCUAGCCGUCCUUGUAGAAGGAGCUAGGACUAAAACCCUCCCCUUAUAUCUUUUUGUAUGGGAAUAAAAAAUCGGAAUGGCCCUUAGAAAUGGGCUUGUAAAUGAAUCAUUUCGGUUAUAUAAAUGAAACAUAUAAGUUGUGUUGUAUAUUUAUGUUUUCCUUACUGUCCAUUUAUUUGUUGUUGAUUGGGCGAUUGAGAUUGCACACUUUCGUAUGUGCUUAAUGGAAAGAUAAAAUCAAUGGAACGGCAACAACCCUUGGGACAUCACAAGUCAAUCUCGACAUAGAGGAUGUCGUGUUCCCGUGUCAAGGGAAACGUUUAGGGCAUGACAUCCCUCAUAUUUAUUGGUAUUAGAGCAAGAUUAAUACCUGAAGUGAUAAGAUGCAUGGGAAAUUGGGAUACUUAAUUAGGAAAACACCUCAUGUUUGUGAUUGCCAAUUGCUUUCUUAACUAGUGUUCUCGAGGUCUAAUCUUUUGUUGGAACUUGCUUUGCAAUUUUUCCCUAGAACUCGUAUAGUUGCAGCAUGAGUGCUUAGGAACCAAGGAUUCUAAGAGGAAUGACUACUUAGGGCUAGUCAAUGUCAAAGGGAAAGGCAAAAGAGGACUCUCGAUUAGAUGGAAUUCUACAAGCUUAGAAUUAGGCCGCUGCAACCCUUAUCAAUGCUAGAAUAGCUAGAAAUGGGUUUGGCAAUAGGAAUUGCGAAUGGUAGAUGCAUGGACUGGUCAAAUAAUUCUUGAAGUUGCGACCCUAAAAGUUUUCUGGUCAGGUGAUCCUAAAGAGACCACUACAUGGAUCAAUGAACUAGAGAAAGCUUUUGCAUUGUUGAGGUGCUUGAAUGAGGAUAAGUUUACAUUAAUAGUGUACCGGCUGCAAGGUAAUGCCAACCAUUAGUGAAAGGCCACUAAGAAAAGGGUAUUUCAUAAAGGUACUAUUCUAACCUGUGAUGCCUUUCCGAGGCAUUCAAUGGAGAGUACUUCUCCGAGAGUGCUCGUGAUUAGAAGAUGAUGGAAUUCCUGCAACUACACUAGAAUCAGAUCACAGUUGACCAAUAUGAGGCAAAAUUCUUGGACCUGUCAAAGUAUGCUCCCAAAUUGAUUAAGAAUCUAGCGUAUAGGGUAAAGAGAUUUCGAGAUGCAUUAAAGUCUGACAUUCAAAGGUAGUUGGUGCCAUUGAAUCUAAAAAAUUAUAACGAGUUGUAUGAAUGAGCCUAGCUAAUAGAAAGGGAUUCGUUGGAGAGACCAAUUGUGACAAGAUCCCCAUAUUUAUCUCCUCGCAACAACCAAUGCAUGGGCAAGAAACUGAUGGUAGGAGGUAAACAUUUCUUUCCUCCUAAGAAGAACAACAGUGGGAAAGCGAUGUAUAUCCCUAGUGAUAUAUGUUGCAUUUGCGAAAGACGACACUAGAGUGCACUAUGUCUAGUCCAAACCGAAGCCUGUUAUGGGUGUGGCCAACAAGGCCAUCAUAUAAGGGACUACCCUUAAUGUCAACUAGGGAUGUAAGUGUAGCAACAACAAGUGAGGCCGCAAUUUAGAGCUACAGCAUAGAAGAACUCCAACAGACCCCAAUGCAAGGAAGAGUUUAUGCUCUUACCUAGGAAGAAGCUGAGAACUCUGAGAACGCGAUCACAAGUAUGGUAUCCUUACAAGAACAUGUUGCUUAUGCAUUAUUUGAUACGGGCGUCAGCCAUUCAUUUGUUGUUGAAUGAUUUGCAAAGUUAGCUAGAUUAGAGUUUAAACCACUAGAAAUGAUUCUUAGUAUCUCUUCCCACUUGAGAGAUGAGGUAUUGUCCACCAUGGGAUGUCAAGGGUGUACAAUCAGUAUAAGUGGUCACGAGGAAAUCAUAGACUAAGCUAUUUUGGCCAUGUAUGACUUUAACGUCAUCAUAGGGAUAGAUUGCCUUGCUAAGCAACAAGCUAUUGUAGACUAUCAUAGUAAAGUGAUCCAAUUUAGCUCACCUGACCAUUAUGAUUACAAGUUCAUAGGAAAUGGAGGAGGGCCCUUCAUACCCUUAGUCUCGACACUUGAAGUAGCUCAAUUUCUAGAGGAAAGUUGUCAAGGUUAUUUAGCGACAGUGAUGAAUAUAUCUAUUCGGGAAUCAAUGAUGGAAAACAUUGCCAUGGUAGGAGAUUUUCCGCAAAGAACAGAUUAAGGGGGCACAUUUAAGUGUCAAAAGUUAGGAAAGUGAUACUUAAGUGUAGAGCUGGCAAAAUAGGUCAUAAACCCAUAUUAUGACCCAUUUUUAGUUAAAUGGGUCAUAUAUGGAUCAAGUGAAGGUUAAAUAAGGGUCAGAAAUGGGUUAAAUGAAAAUUAAAUAUGGGUCAAAAAUAGAUAUGAGAAAGUAAAACACACAAAGAAAUGGGUCUAAAUGGGUUAUUAGGAAACCCACUUUAAAGUUUAAACCCAUGGCCUUUUUUUAACCUUAUAAAAAUGUUUUUUAUUUAUAAAAAUUCAAAAUUGUAAUUAUUUUACAUAUUUCAAUUAUUUUUCCUUUUUCUUUUCUUUUUCUUCCUUCCUUAGUCGACGGCCGACAGGGCGACAGCUAGCCGCCCGCAGGCAACGAGUGAGGUGAGGCUCGAGCUCGCUGACAAGUCACCGACAAUUGGCGAGGCCAAGCCUCGCCGGAUCUGGCGAGACUCGAGCUCACCGGCGUCAAGCGAGGCCUUGGCCUCGCUGGAUCCACGAGGCUCGGCCUCGUCGACGACAAGCGAGGCUCGAGCUCACCGGCAUUGGGCGAGGCUCAAUCUCACCGAUUUGGCAAGGCCGAGGCCCCACCCCAUGCUGGCGAGCUUGAGUCUCACCAGCCAGCCGACAACUGGUGACGCUCGAGCUCACCGGCAUUGGGCGAGGCUCAAUCUCACUGAUUUGGCAAGGUCGAGGCCCCGCCCCAUGCUGGCGAGCUCGAGUCUCGCCAGCUAGCCGACGAAUGGCGAGGCUUGAGUCUCAUCGGAUCUGGUGAGACUUGAGCUCGUCGGCGUCGGGCAGGGCCUCGGCCUCAAUGGAUCGGCAAGAUCGAGCCUCGCCCGACGCCGGCGAGCUCGAUCUCACCUGUGGUCGAUCAUCGGUCGUCGUUGUGGCCGGGAAUUGGCCAAAGAAGAAGAAAAAAGAAAAGAGAAAAGAGAAAAAGAAAAAAUAAUUAUUAAAUAUAAAAAUAAUUAAAAAUUAUAUUUUUUUAAAAAUAUAAAAUUAUAUUUAACAAAAUUAAAAAUUAUAUUUUUUUAAAAUAUAUUAAAAAGAAUUAUACAAAUUUUCCAUUAAAUUUGUAUUGCAUAAAAAUGUUUUUUUUUUUGGUAAAGUGCAUAAAAAUGUUUUAACAAUACUUUUUUAAUAAAAAAUCAUAAAAAUAAGUUUUUUUAGGUUUAGUUAAAAAAAAUUUCAUGUUAUAGUUUUUAGUUAUUCAAUGGUAUGUUCACUUCAAAUAAGAGAAGCAUGUGCAUAGUCUAAUUUUUUAUAAAUAUUUCAAUUUUUAUAGGUUUUUUUAACUUUUAUUUUAUUUUAUUUACUAUUUUUAAUUUAAUUUGAAGUUUUAAUCCAAUUAGUAUAUAGUAGAAGUGGGUUUUCCUAGAAUAUUAAUAGGUUUUAGCAAUACAGGUUGGGUCAGGUAUGGAUCGGAUUGAGUAUGAGUCACUAGAUUUACACUAUAAAAAUAUGGGUGAAAACGGGUUAAAUGGGUCAAAUAUGAGUCGACCUAUUUUCGACCCGACCCACCCCUUUGCCACCCCUUCAUCCUAGACGUGUAAUCACUAUCCUUAAGAAUAAUUAUGUCUGUUGGAGUACGAAACUCAAUGUAUUCACUGUCCCUAAGAAUAAUUAUGUCUGUUAGAGUACGAAACUCAGUGCAUAAGGUUCUAGCAUCCUCUCAAUAUACAACACACCACACUGAAUAUUAGAAUGAAUAGGAGUAACGCUUAGCUAAAAGGAAAGGAAUGAUAUGAGAAUUCUGUGUAUCUUAAAAGAUUGUGAUUUGAAGUUUACUUUAUAUUCAAACAAGAGAGAGAAAGUCAUUAAGAAACCGUUACAAAUCCGUUGUAAAAUAAUAAAAGAUUUAUGAAAAAUUAAAUAAAACAUUAAAAAGUCAUAAUAAAGUCGUUACAUGGCCGUUAAAUAGCCGUUGUUAUAUGACUGUUAUAAAACAUUACAAAACCGUUUUAUAUUAGUGGCAAAAACAAGCCGUUACAAAUUGAUGACGUUAAAAAAUCAUUACAAAAUUAGAGUUUUCAAUAUUUCAAAACUUACUGAAAUACACAAUGAUACAAAAUGAUCUAAUAUUUGCAGUUGUAUAUCUUUGAGCUUUUAUCAGAUACAUGUAAUAGCCAAGUUAGAUAUCGUGAAAUUGCCGUCCACCAUGCCAUCGAUCAAAAACAUUAACAAUCUGAACGUCCAUGUUUCAAUUCCCUCGCGUAGUUGAGUAACAACCUAAGAGAUGCAUAUGGUCUCGCUUAUUGAGGAAAGCAAUCCUGGAAUAAAAGACCUGCCGUUGAUAAUGCCUCUGGGCAUGGGAAUAUAUGUGCUAUAUAAAGUAGGUUGUGCAAGUCUAUCCACAGCAAUAAAGAACAUGACCAUAUAUUUGGGUAUUUAUGCAGCUUUUCAUCAGUUGGUAUUCUAUCUUAAUUGUCUCUAUCUAUGCGGAGAAGUUGCUCCUUCGAUGCAAAACCUUUAAGAUGCCAGAUGAAAGGAAGUAUCAUGGAUCAUGUUUCGCUUCCUUGCAAACCACUUUUGACUCGCAUCCAUUUAUCAUGCCCUGCAUGAUCCAAACUACAGGCAGACAGUCGGAUCAGCGAUUUACCAGAGAAGUGCUUCAAUCUUGUGGGUACAUCCACAUGACAAGAAGGCGGAGGAUCAUUAUGUCAAGAUCUGGCUUGGCUGCAAUGGUUCAUCCUGACAUGGUUAUUAAUUGAUCCACUUACGAACACUUACAGUGGGAUAAUUCUUAGCCACAUGUUUAUUAAUUCUCACACUUUUAUUGCAGUAAAAACUCUUACGGAGGGAUGUAGUUCCGGGGAGCAGGAUAUCCACCAGCUCAUCCUUGCAUCUAUUGAAGGGAGAAUCACCCCACGGGAAGUUGCUUGUCCAGAGGAAAUCGCUGUGGGAGGUUUGGAACUUAGCCAAAGCGCAGUGGACUCACCCUGUGGCAAGUUUAGAGCUUGUUGAAUGUUCCGUGAGUUGCUCUACACGCCGCAGCGGCAUACGCACGCGUAGGAAACAGGAACCUCUCAAGGUUAUCCACCCCUUAACCAAAAAAAGAAAAACGAGAGAGAGAGAGAGAAUCACGCAAAAAGAAAACAUGGGAGCAAGUUAAUGGUCAGUAGAUUCAACAUUUCAUGUAUCGAAUGUAAAAAUUGUAUAACAACUGAUCUUUUUUUGUAUGAUGUGAUGAGCUUUCCAUAAGCACAUGAAUUGUAUACAUCUUCUUCCUUAUCACAUAUCUCAUUGCAU
rnacentral:lncRNA from 1 species